rnacentral:lncRNA from 1 species
CAACCAAGCCCUCCAGCAAGGAUUCAGGUUGGUGCCCCUCCGGCCUCGCCAUGAGGCUCUUCCUGUCGCUCCCGGUCCUGGUGGUGGUUCUGUCGAUCGUCUUGGAAGGCCCAGCCCCAGCCUAGGGGGCUCCAGAAGUCUCCAACCCCUUUGAUGGCCUGGAGGAGUUAGGAAAGACCCUGGAGGACUACACUCGGGAAUUCAUCAACCGCAUCACACAGAGUGAACUUCCUGCCAAGAUGUGGGAUUGGUUUUCAGAGACAUUUCGGAAAGUGAAGGAGAAACUCAAGACUGACUCAUGAGGACCUGAAGGGUGACAUCCCAGGAGGGGCCUCUGAAAUUUCCAACACCCCAGCGCCUGUACUGAGGACGCCCUCCAUGUGUGUCCAAUGUGGUCACACGCCCAGGUGUGACCAAUAAAAAUCCUAUGGAAAAUUCUCUCUGGCCAGGCAUGGUGGCUGACGCCUGUAAUCCCAGCACUUUGGGAGGCUGAGGCGGGCGGAUCACAAGGUCAGGAGAUUGAGCCCAUCCUGGCUAACACGGUGAAACCCCGUCUCUACUAAAAAUACAAAAAAAAUAGCCAAGCGUGGUGGCAGGCGCCUGUAGUCCCAGCUAUUCGGGAGGCUGAGGC